rnacentral:misc_RNA from 1 species
GAUGAAGAACGCAGCGAAAUGCGAUAAGUAAUGUGAAUUGCAGAAUUCAGUGAAUCAUCGAAUCUUUGAACGCACAUUGCGCCCCUUGGUAUUCCGAGGGGCAUGCCUGUUCGAGCGUCAUUAUAACCCUCAAGCUCAGCUUGGUGUUGGGGCCUGCUGCACUGGCAGCCCUUAAAAUCAGUGGCGGCGCCAUCUGGCUCUAAGCGUAGUAAUUCUUCUCGCUAUGGAGUCCUGGUGGAUGCUUGCCAUCAACCCCCAAUUUUUCUAUGGUUGACCUCGGAUCAGGUAGGGAUACCCCCUGAACUUAAGCAUAUCAAUAAGCGGAGGA